GUCAAUUAUAGAUGAUUUUGGUAAUGAUAGCUAUAUGAUAUGUGGUGAUUUUAAUCUUGUUCUCAACCCUGAUAUAGACUAUUUUAAUUAUUUACAUGUAAAUAACCCAAAUGCUCGGGAGAAAGUUUUAGAAAUCAUUCAGGAAAGGUGUCUCAUUGACCCUUUCCGUGAACUUUACCCAGAUUUGAAGCGUUUCACAUGGAGAAAAAGAACCCCCUUUAAACAAGCAAGGCUAGAUUUUUUUCUUUUAUCUGAAGAUUUACUAUGCUGUUUGAAAAAUUGUAAUAUUGAGCCUAGCUAUCGCUCUGAUCAUUCUAUGGUUGUAUUAAAUCUAGAAUUUAAUCCUUUUGAUCGAGGUAGAGGAUUGUGGAAAUUUAAUAAUUCAUUAUUGUAUGAUCCAGAAUAUAUAAAGAUUGUUAAAGAAAAAAAUAGUAGAAGUUAAAAAACAAUAUGUAACACCUGUUUAUGAUAUAGAUAGAAUUGAAGACAUGAAUAAUGAAGAUCUCCAUUUUAAUAUUAACAGUCACUUAUUUCUUGAGACAAUGUUGAUGGAAAUUAGAGGUAAAACUAUAUCUUAUUCAAGUUAUAAGAAAAAGGUAAAAGAAAAACAAGAGAAAGAUCUUAGAAAUGAAAUUCUUAUUUUGGAAGAAAAGGUAGAUGAAGGUUCAAUACAGAUUUUGGAAAAUAAAAAAUGUGAAUUAGAAAAUAUAAGAAAAGAAAAAAUUAAAGGGAAGAUAAUUCGAUCAAGAAUACAAUGGGUAGAAGAGGGUGAAAAACCUACUAGCUAUUUUUGUGGGCUAGAAUCAAAAAAUUUUACAAAUAAGAUAAUACCAAAAGUAGAAAAAGAAAAUGGAGAUGUAAUUUCAAAAC
rnacentral:lncRNA from 1 species